rnacentral:rRNA from 1 species
UACGGAGGGUGCGAGCGUUAAUCGGAAUUACUGGGCGUAAAGGGUGCGUAGGUGGUUAGAUGAGUUAUCUGUGAAAUUCCUGGGCUCAACCUGGGCAGGUCAGAUAAUACUGUUUAACUCGAGUAUGGGAGAGGGUAGUGGAAUUUCCGGUGUAGCGGUGAAAUGCGUAGAGAUCGGAAGGAACACCGGUGGCGAAGGCGGCUACCUGGCCUAAUACUGACACUGAGGCACGAAAGCGUGGGGAGCAAACAGG